rnacentral:rRNA from 1 species
AGUGAACGCUGGCGGUAGGCCUAGCACAUGCAAGUCGAACGGCAGCACAGUAAGAGCUUGCUCUUACGGGUGGCGAGUGGCGGACGGGUGAGGAAUACAUCGGAAUCUACUUUUUCGUGGGGGAUAACGUAGGGAAACUUACGCUAAUACCGCAUACGACCUACGGGUGAAAGCAGGGGAUCUUCGGACCUUGCGCGAUUGAAUGAGCCGAUGUCGGAUUAGCUAGUUGGCGGGGUAAAGGCCCACCAAGGCGACGAUCCGUAGCUGGUCUGAGAGGAUGGUCGGCCACACUGGAACUGAGACACGGUCCAGACUCCUACGGGAGGCAGCAGUGGGGAAUAUUGGACAAUGGGCGCAAGCCUGAUCCAGCCAUACCGCGUGGGUGAAGAAGGCCUUCGGGUUGUAAAGCCCUUUUGUUGGGAAAGAAAAGCAGCAGGUUAAUACCACGCUGUUCUGACGGUACCCAGAGAAUAAGCACCGGCUAACUUCGUG